CCUUUGGAUUUGAGGAAAAGAAUCUGACUGUGUCUGUGUCUGUGUUGUCUUGAUGCUGGGCUACCCUCCCUGGCACAGGAAUUCUCAAGCUUCCUGUGAGUCUUGCUUUCCUGGGCCUCACCCAGUCAGGGCUCCCAGACUCUGAAGAUCAAGGCUCCAGCGGGAUACCAGCUCCCUCUUUCAGAUGAUGCAGUAGCAGUCCCCCACCCUUGCCCCAAAACCCUGUGUGGGAAAGUAAAUAGUCGGGUUUGGGAUGUAAUGGUUUUCUUCUGUUUUGUGUUACGGGAUCUGAUGCACACACACACACAAUCUGCCCAGAACCUCAAAUAAUUACAGUGAGACGACUCUGCUUCCUUCUCUUGGCCACAGCAGACAGGCGGGAGCCCAGACAGACACUGCAGAGGGAGAGGGCGCAGUGACUGACGGAUGGGAAAGGCGGGGACCAGGAAUUAGGGACUGUAAGAGAACCACAAGCUCAGUGUCACGGCGUCGUGGCACUGGGCGGGAGUGGGGGAAAGGCCCUGCCUAGAGGGCCAGGGACUAGCCUCAUUUAAAAAUCACUUAAUAGAAAGACCUGCCAGAAACGAUUAAGUGAGGGGAAAGGCAAGCCCAAGGCAACUCACGCACUAGGCUAUCAUUUCUGUCAUGAAGGAGCCGAACAGCCCACAUUUGCUGUGUGGCCACCAACAGCACUCGUCUCUGAGGAGGGAAUGGUGUGGCGAGGAGGGAGCUGUUUUGGCUUUGUCGGAAAAUAAGAUAGCAAAUUCAACAGACUAGUAAAAACGAAGCAGCUUUUAAUAUACAGUUCUGCAGAAAGAGACCCCAGUGUGGAGAAAAGGCCAGCGUGGCUUGCAGAUUUGGAGGAGGACUCUUUUAGAAUGAAUACUCUCAUCACUCCCGGUCUCUCUUUCCGUGGGUCAAGCCUUGCUCCCUUCUCCAAAUCCUCUUUUCAUUGGCUUAGUACACAGAGACUCAUCCAAUGAACAAAUUGGGGCUUGGGACUGCCCCCCUUUUCUGAUAAAGCUCCAAGCAGAUGUUGCCCGAUGGUGCCAGAUUGACAACUGGGGGAACUGAUAGAGGAAGGUUUAUAUGGCACUCUUGGUACCACUGUCACUGAAGCCACUGCACUCUCAGUUCACCAGUGGAGUCCACCGUGGCAGGGAAGUGUGGCGGCAGGAGCUGGAAGCAGCAGCUCACAGGACACCCACAAUCAGGAAGCAGGAAUGGAACCAGCCACAUGUCUGAAAGCAACACCUGGGCAGUUGGCUGCAGCUUUGACGUCGAGGCGGAAGCCUGUUCUCCUAAAGGAUCUCACGAUUCCAUUCUUCUUCUUCCUACUGCACGGGCACAAAGCCUGCCCCUCAUCCUUCGGGUGACCCACACUCCUUCCCUCUCUUAGCUCUCCACUGUAGGCAAUGUUUCAAAGCCAAAGGACAUUAGAAAAAGCUUCCGGCAAAAGAAGGCCUUAGGAGAUUCUCUCUCUUGGAAACAAAUAGAAAAAUCUUGCUUCUGUCUAUCCUUGGCAGAGACUCUGGGCUGAGACUUGUGGUUGUAGUACUGGCCCUUGGGGGGAAUAUGGCCAUUUCAUAGUAACAGAAAAUGCAGCUCAAUG